CUUCAAGGAGGAGCAACGAGUGUCUAUGCAAGCAGCGGACCACGCGCCUGUGGGAGAAGCCGCCAGCUCAGUAACUGAAAGUCUCCAUCAGACUUGAAAUGCCGGCUUUCUAUUACUAGGUCCCCAGGAAGCACUAAGUCACUAAGAUUCGAAGAAGAAGAAGUGCUUGAUUCCUCCUAAGCCAUAAGUGCUGAGGAGGCAGAGGUUAUAAAGAUCUGCUGAUGGCAUGCUAAGGUGAAGGAAAGCGACCACACAGGGACGGCGCGAAUGGUAUCCACAACCCUCGGUCGAGAGCUGAAAGUUAGAGUUUGGACUAAGCGUCAAGACUGGGUUUCUCAGACAUCAGGAAUCCGUCUAUGUGUCCCCAAGACCUGGUAACAGGAGCUGCAAAGAUGUUUUGAAACUAAAGUGAUACAUUCUUACAGGAAA